CUUUCUGAUGGGGGUCCUCAACGUCUUUUUUACUCUCACGACAGACUCCAUGAUGCACCGGAGCUCUCAGGACAGGAGUGAAUGAACACACUGCUACUUCUUGGACAGAUGAUAGGUGGUAACAGUUGGCCAAAGGCUCACAGCAUAAAAUCCUUAUAAAGCUCCAGCCACAUGGCCUCCACCGCAACAAGACAAUCCCCAAAAGCUCUACAACAAAUCAGAGGGAGCAAGAAGAAACAACAACAGAAGACUCCCCAAAUUUUUCCUGUGCUCCUUGACGCUCACAGGAGUGAAUAACUAUGUGUAUGUCCAGGUUUAGCCUUUGCCUCUUCUGCUUCCCUCCUCAAGACUCACUCUACUUUUCAACACCCCCCCCCCCCCCCCCCCCCCCCCCCCCCCCCUCUAUACGGAUUACCACUUAGAGGAAUUGAUGAGGGGAAUCUUGUUAGCUGUGGCAGAUGGAUACAAGAGAUAUGGCAUGCUGUUUAGCCAUGCUGCUAAUAGCCUCAUAGGCCAAAUGUGGUCCUGCAGCAAAGCAACCUGCUGCAGUGCUAGAUC